ensembl:ncRNA F48E3.11 ncRNA
UGUGUCUAAAUCUCUCACCAAAGAAGAAUGCGGCUAGCGUUGUCCAGUCUCUUCGUAUUUGUGGGUGACGCGGACGAUAGAGGCAGCUGCGAUCUGAUUG